GUAGGUGGACCUGCGGAAGGAUCAUUAUAGAAUUAAACUUGCUUGGGUUGUUGCUGGUCCUUAGGGAUAUAUGUGCACACCUGAACAUUUAAAACCCAUAACCACUUGUGAACUUUUGUAGACCUAGAUGUCUUUCGAGAAGAAAUUCUCGGUUCAAAGAUUGCAAUGAAAUGAAAUUCAAAGCUUUCUUUACAUUUCUGGUCUAUGAUUUUCAUACAUACAACCUAACAAAGAAUAAAUGAUCUUUUAAAUAAAUUAAUACAACUUUCAACAAUGGAUUUCUUGGCUCUUGCAUCGAUGAAGAACGCAGCGAAAUGCGAUAAGUAAUGUGAAUUGCAGAAUUCAGUGAAUCAUCGAAUCUUUGAACGCACCUUGCGCUCUUUGGUAUUCCAAAGAGCAUGCCUGUUUGAGUGUCAUGAAAUUAUCAAACCUUUCUAGCUAUUUUCUUGAAUGGCUAGUCUGGGUUGGAUUUAUGGGAGUUUGCAGGCUUCUUCAAAAGUCAGCUCUUCUUAAAUAUAUUAGCAGAACAUUUGCCUAACAAAUCAGUUUGGUGUUGAUAAAUUAUCUAUACCAUUCAAAAGUUGGCAGGUUGUUUAGCUUUCUAAUAGUCUGUUUAGACAAUUUGAUUGACAAUUUGACCCCGCUGAACUUAAGCAUAUCAAUAAGCGGAGGAA
rnacentral:rRNA from 1 species